AUGGAACUGUCGGUGUUUUGCCUUUGACUUUGGUUAGUGCUGCUUCUACAGAUGGGGCCUGAUGUUCGUCCUUCUGCAGUGAAGCAGACAUUUCAAGCAGCUGGACAUUGCUUGUGGGGAAAUUCCAGAUUGCACUACCCAUUGUGAGAUGCAGGGACAAUGUGUGAGACUCUCAGGAUCGACCUGAAAUCAGAGAUUUAUUGGAAGAAAAAACCACAACUGAAGACAAGGGACCAACAACAAGUGAACCAGCCCGAAGAUUGAGAGCAACAACUGGAGAGCACCCAUCUGACUCGGAGAAUCCAGUGAAUCAGUCAGGAGAAAGUUUGAGCCACACAACCCCACUACCAGCUUGUUCAUUGCAGAAAUGUACAAGUAUCUGAGAAACAAGAGGACCUACAGAUGCUGGAAAUCUACAGAACUACACACAAAGUGCUGGAGGAGCUCAGUAUGUCAGGCAGUGUCUGUGGAUGUGAAUCAACAUUUCGGGCCCUUCAUCGGGACUCCUGAUACCCACGUAUCUGGAAUAUCAACAAGCAAAGCAAAUAGAAAGUAGUGCGAAAUCAGGAAAACUUUUGACAAAAUAUAGUUCAAUGCUUAAAAAACCUGCCAAACAGAGCUCAGCAGUUAACAGAAACACAGGCAAUAAACAAAUAGUUAACAAUAAUACAUAGGCAAUAAACACUUUAUCAAUACCAACAUUUAGUUUCUUUUAUAAAAAUUUGUUGGUCCCAUUUCAAUCAGUAAAAUUUACAAAGAUAAAUAAGAACUGAAAUGACAACUUUAGAAAAGACUAUUUACACUCAAACCCACUUAGAUUAACACUACCUUGGAUAGAAGGAGAAAGAGAAUUAACACACAUGAAAAAAAAUCACACAACAGUCAGAAACUCCUAAGUAUAUAUUUUCAUGAAAAAUAAACAGGAUUCAGCACUGCAUGUGCGUAUAUGCAAUCGUGAUAAGAAAUACAGACUGGAAAACAAAUGAACGGCCAACUCUGAAAAAUGAAUCAUCAAUAUGGAAGAAAACAUUAAUCAGUGGAAUGAGUAUGACCCUCCAUGGGAGACAUCCCAAUGAUCUGAGCAGGUGAGAUGGUGACAACGGAGCAUCGAGCACCUGAUUAAGAGUUGGACUCUUCCCAGAAACAGAGGGGUUUCUUGCAGAAAUACAGGACAAGGUGGUUAACAAAAGGAAAAACAAAUCAAAAAUACAUGAAAUACAAACAAACAAGGCAAUAAGUGCAGAAAAUGCCAAGAGAAACCAAACACAAUCCAACAGAUAUUAGGAUCCUGCAGCAGUUUAACUCAAUGUGAUUAUUAACAAAGGUACAAUCAAGUGGCAAAUAUCAUUCACCAAAAUCUUGCUUGAAAAUACAAAUGCAGGAAUGCCCUCCAUCACUUCAUAAAGGCACCAUAAAUUCAAGCAUGAUCCAGUUUUAGAGUCAAAAUCUUACAAAUUAUAUGAGAAUCAAUACAUUAUUUCAGAUAGGACAAUCCAUAAUAACCAUCUGGAUACAAAAUUACAGGAUUAGCAAGCAGGAACAACUCCCUCAAUAUAUAAAAGCAUUCCCGACACACAUGUUCCUCAACCAGUGGAGCACCUCACCACAGGUAUUGUUUGUGUCAUCAGUCAGACAAUCAAAAUAUUUUCUCUGUCAAUCAGCUUCCAAGUGUUGCUACUUUGUCAUUUGUUGCCACGCCCCGCUGCUGAUUCCCUUCUCCUUAUCAUACAUUCUUACCCCGACCAUCAUCCAGAGCUUCAAACUCUGCCCUGUGCGGACCCGCCUCUGUUUUCUGAACCUGCUUCGUUGAACAUCCAACAAUGGUUUCCCAUUCUGCUUUCAGUCUUUAGAGGACAGUGGUGUUUCAACAACCCUUUAGAAUCCGGGAAAAUGGCCCAUAAUGUGGAAAUGAGUUGUGAUUAAGGAGGUAAAAAUACCAAUGUCAUUCUUCCUCAGCCCACAGAUUAGAGGCGUGAAGAACAUUUCAGACAGAACUUCAGUCAGCUCGACUUCUUCACUAGAUACUAGAAAACUACAGCGCAAUACAGACCUUUCAGCCCUCAAUUUUGUGCCGACCCAAAGUACUAAACCCAUACUACCCUGUAACCAGCUAUUUUUCUUUCAUCCGUGUGCCUGUCCAAGGGACUCUUAAAUACCCUGAUGUUUUAGAUUCCACCACCAUCCCUGCAAGUCAUUCCAAGCACCCACAACCCUCUGUGUAAAAAUAUUACCCCUGAUGUCUCCUCUAAACUUCCCACCCUUAACUUCAUACAUAUGCCCUCUGGUGUUUUCUAUUCAUGCCCUGGUAAACAGGUACUGGCUAUCUAUGCCUCUCAUAAUCUUGUAGACCUCUGUCAAGUCCCCUCUCAUCCUUCUACGCUCCAAUGAAAAAAGCCCCAGCUCUUGCUUCAUAAGACUUGUUUUCCAAUCCAGGAAACAUUGUGGUAAAUCUCCUCUGUACCCUCUCCAUAGCUUCCACAUCCUUCCUAUAAUGAGGUGACCAGAACUGAACACACUACUCUAAGUGUGGUCUCACCAGAGAUUUGUAGAGUUGCCUCGCAUCCCAUAGGCCUUCUUAAGUAUCCUAUCAACCUGUGCAGCAACCUUGAGGGAUGUAUGGAUUUGAAACACAAGGUCCCUCUGUUCAUCCACACUCUUAAGUAAAGAUUAACCCUAUACUCAGCAUUCUGGUUUGUCCUUCCAAAAUGCAUCACCUCACCCUUGUCCGGAUUGAACACCAUCUGCCACUUUUCUACCUGACUCUGCAUACUGUCUAUAUCCUCUUGUAACCUUCGACAACCUACACCUCCAUCCACAACUCCUCCAAUCUUCGUGUCAUUCACAAACUUACCCAUCCUUCCGCCUCUUUAUCCAGGUCAUUUAUAAAAAUCACAAAGAGCAGGGGUCCCAGGACAGAUCCCUGCAGCACUCCACUAGUCACCAACCUCUAGGCAGAGUACUUUCCUUCCACUGCUUUCUUCCUGUAAGCCAAUUCUUUAUCCAAACAGCCAAGGUUUCACUGAUCCCAUGCCUUAUGACUUUCUGGAUGAGUCUCUUGUGGGGGACCUUGUCAAAUGCCUUGCUAAAAUCUACCACCCUACCCUCAUCAAUUUCUUUUGUUACUUCUCAAACAACUCAAUUAGGCUCAAGAGGCACGACCUUCCCUUCACAAAGCAAUGUUGACUAUCCUUGAGUAGACUGUUCCUUCUCCAAAUGUUCAUAGAUCCUAUCUUUAUAAUCCUUUCCAAUAGUUUGCAAACCACCGAUGGAAGACUCUACUGUUCUGUAGUUCCCGGGAUUCUCCCUAUUAACUUUUUAAAACAAGAGAACUACAUUUGCUAUUCUCCAAUCCUCCAGCACCUCCCCUGCAGCCAAAGAGGAUUCAAAGAUCAUAGCUACUGCUCCAGCGAUCUCUUCUCUCACUUCCCACAGCAACCUGGGGCAUAUCACAUCCGGCCCUGGGGACUUAUCAAUCUUGAUGUUUUUAAAAAGAUCCAACACUUCUUCUGCCUUAAUCUCCACAUUCUCCAGCAGACAGGCCUGUUCUAUUUAAACCUCAUGCUGGUCAAGGUCCUUUUCACUUGUGAAUGCUGAGGCAAGGUUCAUUUAGGACCUCCCCAACCUCCUGGUACAUGUUGCCUUCGUUAUCCUUUAGCGGCCCCACCUUCGUGCUUGUCAUGCUUCUGUUCUUCACAUACGCAUACAACACCUUGGGGUUCUCCUUAAUCCUACAUGCCAAGGCCUGCUCAUGCCCCCUUCGAGCUCUCCUGUCCUUUCUUAAGCUCCUUCCUGGCUACCCUAUAUUUCUCAUGAGCCCCUCCAGCUUCCUGCUUCUUAUACCUAACAGAUGCUUCCUUCUUCCUCGUCAGUCUGCAGAAAAUUCAAGGGAAACCUCUUCACCCACAGAGUGGAGACUGCUUGGAACCCAUCACCACAGGGAGAGAGAGAGAGAGAGAGGAGUACAACAGGGGAGGAUUUAAAAGGACUGUUGUGGAACAGAAUCACUGGCAGGGUCCAGCUAGCCUGAGUUGACACUCCAGUGUACACUAGGUGUGUUAUAAAUUCACUAAAUACUGGAGACGGGGUUUAAAUUAGAACUGAUUUAUUUGUCUCAGAUCCAGAAUAUUAAACUCCAGUCCCAUUAAAGGUGAAUGUGCAACAGAAGAAAUUCGCCCCAUAGCCAGUAAUCAGGGUGCAGAACUGGGUGUGGUGAGCAGCAGCAAUAAUUGCAGAGUUCAGCACCGACUGUCACUCUCAAAAUUACAUUCAGCAACGGUGAUGGACAAAUAUCCAGCAUGCAGCUUAUUGAAACUUUCUCCCCAUUGUGAACCCGGUAGUUUGUCACAAAUGUAACAUGCUGUAAGGUUUCACUGCUAAUGUAAUGGCCUCUCUACAAUGUUUCACUGCUGAGGUAAUGGUUUCUCUGUAGCAGCAAUUUAGAUUACAAUUAGAGGUAACAGGGUCUUGGAGUGCGGGGCUACACAAUGAGAGAAAUUUCUUUCUUGUGAGUCUGCAAGAGAGAUGUAAC